CCUGGUGCUAAUGAAGUCAGGGCUGUAGCCUCAGUUCCUCUAUGGAUCAAUUAACUUCCCCUGUUAAAGUAUCUUGGAAUUCACCACUCAGUGAACUUGGGGUGCCAUUCUCUUGGUAAUUAAGCAGAUCAGGUGAGGCAAAAAAGAUGCAUGGUUUACUGCAAAUUUAUUAUUCUUUUCAGAAAAUGCCUUCAGAAGCCCAGCUGAUGUUUUGAAACAUUUCAUUUACACAUUGACAUCAGAGACAUAUGCUUCUAUUCCCUAUAGCUGCUGUGUUGCGUUUUGAUAUUUGAACGAAAAUGAUGCUUUGGAGGCUUAAAAAAUGGACUUUCCUUCUGAAGUACCCAGGAGAGUAGGGGAUGUUUGGCAGUGUCUGGAGAUAUCUUGGACUGUCGUAACUGGAGGCAGGAGUGUAUGCAAUAGCAUCUAGUGGAAAGAGGCCAGGGCCAGGGGUGCUGCCAAGCACCCUAUCAUACAUGGGACAGAGCUGUAACAAAGAAGUGGUAAUUAGAAUUACUCACCUCAAAUGUCAGUAUUGUCACUGCUCUAUAAGGUACAGAAGCUAUCAAGAUACAUAAUUCCAGUUUUAAGGAGCUGUCAUGUUCAUAGCAGCACUACUAACAGUGGACAAAAAGGUGAAUAUGACCCAAAUUCCAUCAGCAGAUGAAUGAAUAAACAAAAGUCUGGCAUAUCCA
rnacentral:lncRNA from 13 species